rnacentral:misc_RNA from 1 species
UACGAACCGGACAAACGUUAUUCGGAAUCACUGGGCUUAAAGAGUACGUAGGCGGCCGCGCAAGUUGGGUGUGAAAUCCCACGGCUCAACCGUGGAACUGCGCUCAAAACUGCGUGGCUAGAGGGAGACAGGGGUGAGCGGAACAGAUGGUGGAGCGGUGAAAUGCGUUGAUAUCAUCUGGAACACCGGUGGCGAAGGCGGCUCACUGGGUCUCUUCUGACGCUGAGGUACGAAAGCUAGGGUAGCGAACGGG